UGCAAGUCGAACGGUAACAGGUCUUCGGAUGCUGACGAGUGGCGAACGGGUGAGUAAUACAUCGGAACGUGCCCGAUCGUGGGGGAUAACGAAGCGAAAGCUUUGCUAAUACCGCAUACGAUCUACGGAUGAAAGCAGGGGACCGCAAGGCCUUGCGCGAACGGAGCGGCCGAUGGCAGAUUAGGUAGUUGGUGGGAUAAAAGCUUACCAAGCCGACGAUCUGUAGCUGGUCUGAGAGGACGACCAGCCACACUGGGACUGAGACACGGCCCAGACUCCUACGGGAGGCAGCAGUGGGGAAUUUUGGACAAUGGGCGAAAGCCUGAUCCAGCCAUGCCGCGUGCAGGAUGAAGGCCUUCGGGUUGUAAACUGCUUUUGUACGGAACGAAAAGACUCUGGUUAAUACCUGGGGUCCAUGACGGUACCGUAAGAAUAAGCACCGGCUAACUACGUGCCAGC
rnacentral:rRNA from 1 species